UACGAAGGGGGCUAGCGUUGUUCGGAAUCACUGGGCGUAAAGGGUGCGUAGGCGGCCCGUUAAGUCAGUGGUGAAAGCCUCCAGCUCAACUGGAGAACUGCCAUUGAUACUGACGGGCUUGAGUACAGACGAGGUUGGCGGAAUUGAUUGUGUAGCGGUGAAAUGCAUAGAUACAAUCAAGAACUCCGAUUGCGUAGGCAGCUAACUAGGCUGUAACUGACGCUGAGGCACGAAAGCGUGGGGAGCGAACAGG
rnacentral:rRNA from 1 species